rnacentral:rRNA from 1 species
GACGAACGCUGGCGGCGUGCUUAACACAUGCAAGUCGAACGGAAAGGCCCUGCUUGCCGGGUGCUCGAGUGGCGAACGGGUGAGUAACACGUGGGUGAUCUGCCCCUUACUUUGGGAUAAGCCUGGGAAACUGGGUCUAAUACUGGAUAGGACCAUGCUGUAGGUGGUGUGGUGGAAAGAUUAGUUUCGGUAAGGGAUGAGCUCGCGGCCUAUCAGCUUGUUGGUGGGGUAAUGGCCUACCAAGGCGUCGACGGGUAGCCGGCCUGAGAGGGUGGACGGCCACAUUGGGACUGAGAUACGGCCCAGACUCCUACGGGAGGCAGCAGUGGGGAAUAGUGCACAAUGGGCGCAAGCCUGAUGCAGCGACGCCGCGUGGGGGAUGACGGCCUUCGGGUUGUAAACUCCUUUCAGCCAUGACGAAGCCCUUGUGGUGACGGCAGUGGUAGAAGAAGCACCGGCUAACUACGUG